rnacentral:rRNA from 1 species
AUGAAACCCAACUCCUCGCCACUCAAAAAAAAAAAAGAAAAGAAAAAGGCGAAACCCUCGACUCCAUUUCCUCCCAAAUCCCAAACCCCCAUGGACGAGCUCGCCGGCGACAGCCGCCGCGCCGAUUCGGCGCCUCCGCUUCCGCAUCUCCCCGACGACAUGCUCGUGGAGAUCUUCCUCCGCCUCCCGCCGGAGCCCAUCCACCUCUUCCGCGCCUCCUUCGUCUGCAAGCACUGGCGCGGCCUCGUCCACGACGCCCGCUUCCUCCGCCGUUUCCGCGACUUCCACGGGGGGACGCCUCCCGUCCUCGGCUUCUUCAACAACCAGCCGGUGUCUCCCCUCUUCGCCCCCACCUCCGACGGCUUCGCCGUCCCCGGCGCCGCCACGAUGCGCCACGGCGAGUGGUGGGCCCUCGACUGCCGCCACGGCCGCGCCCUCCUCCUGGACCAACGACACGGAAGGCUCCUCGUCUGGGACCUCAUGAACGGCGACAAGCACUACCUGCCGUUCCCCACGCAGGCCCAUCUGGAGCGCGUUGAGUACAAUGGCGCGGUCCUCUGCGCGGCUGGCCACGCCGAUCACGGCGACUGUCAUUUGUGCCCGUUUCUCGUGGCGUUCGUGUUCAGUCAGCAGAGUGAUUUCAAUACCUCCGCGUGCGUCUACUCGUCCGAGAUAAGCGUUUGGGGUGAGAUCUAUUCGAUCGAAAUUCCAAAUGUAUUAGUUACAUGGGCGCCGACGCCACUGAUUGGAAAUACACUCUACUGGAUGUUGGAUACCUCUGGCGGCGCUAUCAAAAAUGAGUGUUGGAUCGUUGAGUUUGAUUUGGAUGCACACAAUUUGGAUUUAACUAGGGAGAUUCCAUACUACGUGCUCGAUAAGUACAAUAGGCAAAUUGUUCUCAUGCCAGCAGAUGAUGGACGGCUUGGUUUCGCCGGAGUUGACAAAUUCAGUCUCCAUUUGUGGUCAAGUGUAGCUUGUGUUGACGGGAUGGUAACAUGGGCACAUUGCAGAGUCAUUGAUCUGGAGAAUUUUCUUGCACUGGAAGCAGUAGCGGCGUGUCAGUAUGUACCAGAUGCAGUUGGCUAUGCUGAAGAUGCCAAUGUGAUCUUCAUUCGUGUGGAUCCAAACAUCUAUAUGAUUCAUCUCAACACCAUGCAGAUUGAGGAGGUUUCAGAGAAAGGGGCCUAUUGGUUUGUUUUUCCUUACACAAGUUUCUACACUCCAGCAAAAGCUCUUCGCAGUUGUUUUAUUGCCCACGAUUGCCAUCGGUUUAUUGGCUCAUUCUUCUCAUAG